ACCCUGCAAAUGAUUCAUAUCCAGACAAUCAAGCUGUUAAUAAUGAUGACGACGAUAUUCUAGCAAUGCUUGAUAUUUUCAAAGGCAAUGGCGUAUUGCCUGCACCCGACCCUGCAAAUGAUUCAUAUCCAGACAAUCAAGCUGUUAAUAAUGAUGAUGAUAUUCUAGCAAUGCUUGAUAUUUUUGAAGAGAACGGCAUAUUGCCUGAGGUAUGCUAAUCUGUUUUUUCUUCCUUCUACUUAUGUUUUUCUGGAAACAGUGAAGUUUUUUUAUGUCUGGUUUUAGUGUUCUCUAUAUUUGUAGACUUGUUGUUUUAUCUAUCCCAUGCAGUUUGCAUUGUCUCCUCAUAAUGUUAAUGCCAUUUUACUAAAUCAUAGGGAUUUAUAUAGUCCUUGAUUUCUUGAAGGGAUAACUAAG
rnacentral:lncRNA from 1 species